UAAAACCCGUCCCUCCGUUGAACCAAACGGACCCUUAGAAAAUCGAUCUUGAGAGAAAUUGAAAACGAAACUUCAUAAAAUCGCUUGAGAGAAAUUGAAAACGAAACCGCAGAGAAUCGCUCUUGAGCAAGGUCUCAUGAAUCUCGUCAUUUCCUCUUUCAACUCAGGGAAUUACCCUAACUCUAUAUUCUAAUUCUCUCACAACGAUCUGAACUCUCGCAAUUGCAACCACCAAUCGAAUCUCCGAACCCUAGCUUGUAUUUCCCCCUUUCAACUCAGUUAAACUUGUGGGAUUUUAAUCAGUUGUUAGGAAAACGCUUACAAAUAGGAAGGGCGCAGUUAGGUUAGUUCUUAAUGGCUGCUACAUCUGGGAUAGCUGAAGAGGAAACACAAGUGUCUUCUAGUGACGAGAUCGAUCCAAGGCUGGAUGUCUAUGUGUGGGACAUGGAUGAGACCUUUAUACUACUCAAUUCCUUGCUGAAAUCAUCCUAUGCCGAGGCUUGGGAGGAUGUGGGAAAAUCUCUUUCUGCAAGUGUGAUGAUAAUUUCUUCUAUGACCAAGUAAAGUUUCGAUUUCUGUACCGAAUAUUUUCCGUGGUUUGUUUUUAGUUGUGGGGUUUCUGCGUUGCAGAUUGAGAAUUACAAUAAGCCGAUUCUUGAUGUUAUGUCCAAAUAUGAUGAUGGGAAGGACCUAUCUGAUUAUGGACUGGUUUGGUAAAUACUUAGUUACAUUAUCUUAUAAUCUAUGAAGCACGGGUACUAGAAUCUAGAAACACGACACUGACGGCUACACAGUUGUGAUUAUGUUCUUUUCAUUUUUUCAAAUUAUAUUCCAGUUGAUGUGCUGAAUGUUGGAGGCGCUGGGUUGAAGUGUUGAGCCACCAAAUUACUGAGAAUGGUGCAAAUUGGAGCAUGGGUCAGAGGCAUUUGGUUUGCCUUGGUAGGUUUCCGCUUAAGAAGAGCUAAACUUUGGUGCUUGAUGAAGCCACUGCAUCAGUUGAUACAGCUACGCGGAUAAUUUGAUUCAACAUACUCUUGGGAAGCAUUUCGCUUAUUUUACCGUCAUUACCAUCGCACAUCGAAUAACUACUGUUCUUGACAGUGAUAUCGUUCUACUUCUUGAUCAAGAUUAGGAUGAAAAUCUGUUAUUUUUGUUGUUAUACUGGUUCCAACACGAGAAUUGGCUUUACAAACAUCUCAAGUAUGUAAAGAGCUUGGAAAGCUAGGUAUUAUUCACUUACAUGAGUGUUUUUUUGAGCGUCGCGGAUGUCUUAUGUCAGUAUGCUGUUCGAGGAGAGAUUGUUACACUUGCUCAGUUGCAGUGGAGCUGUUUGAAAUAGAAUCACCGUGCCGGUUUCCCUCAGGCCACCGCGAGCUUCAUCUCCUCAGGGUGAGUAUUAUUUUUCCCUAAUCAAUCAGUUUAACUCUUGAUCUAAAAAUCCCUGAAUUCUCAUGACGGCCGUCAUUAUUGCAAGUUUAAUUUCACUGAGGAGUUUCGGAGAAUUCGAACCUCAUUAUGGUCCAGUGGUGCAAACAUCUAAAAAUACUAUGGAACUACGAGGUAUGCGAAUGGAAGAAGCUGCUAUCCAUAUUGGCAAUUAACGCAAGUCAGCCAUAUUCAGUUCUCUUUGUAAUACAUGGGAUGGGCACCAGUGCUAUUAAAGAUUCCACCAGCUGAUACACUAUAGGACAGAGGAUUCAGGAGAUGUCAAUGGCAUUUACCAGAAAUUGUGUUCUCUCUUUCAGCCAAGAUUCUAGAAAAUGGGAAGACAACCAUGUUGUGAUAAGGUUGGUUUGAAGAGAGGACCAUGGACUAUUGAGGAAGAUCAUAAGCUUGUGAGUUUUAUCCUUAAUAAUGGGAUUCAUUGUUGGAGAGUGGUUCCUAAACUUGCAGAUUGAUGAGAAUGUGGCAAGAGAGAUUAUCAACCACAGGUCUCUUCGGCACCCGAAUAUAAUUCGCUUUAAGGAGGCUAGGUAUUUUUUCAGCCGCUGAUAUCUGGUGUCCAUUACUGUCAUGCUAUGCAAAUAUGUCAUAGAGAUUUGAAGCUGGAAAUUACACUGUUAGAUGUAUGUGUUUUUUUGUAGUACAGGAAAGUUUAUAUUCUGUUUUGUAUUUAUUGUAUCUAGCUAUUUUCCAGGAUUUACCUGCCGAAAUUAUUACCCACGAAGGUUUUAGCUGGGGACGAAUAACCGCAGGAAAAUCCGCAGGUAACAUGUUUCCUGCGGGAAUUUAGCUAAAAUUCGCAGAUCUGAUCAACCUUGAUCUUUCAAGAACCACCAAGCAACUCAUUGAUGAAUACAUAAGAUCAGACAGUUACUUACCCUUCAGACCUCCCAGAUGGAAUUAUGAUCAAGCGACAAGAAAGUGAAGUUGUUUUAUACUCUGAUUUUCUUUAAUGAUAAUAUUGUGUUCAAUGUUUUUUUAUGGAAUUUUUGAAAUUUACUUAUUUGAUUUUUUAUUGAAAACAGCCCACAAUUUUCUUUAAAUGAUGUUUAUAAUAUUUUUAUUGUUAUUUUUUUUUGACCUACUUAAGUUUCUAUUUUGAUAAUUUUUUUCCUUCCUCUGAAAGUCAGGAAAUUGCUCGAUGUUUAUGAAAAAUUUAAGGUUUCUGACUUUGGCUUGACUGCAUUGACUAAGCAGGUAAGAAUGUGUUCUACUUACAUAAGAAGAUGACAAUAAUCUAUAUUUUCUUAAGCAAAAGAUGUAUUGGUUUAGUUUGUAACAGAAUAAUAGCUUCUUGAUUUUCACCUAUUCAACUUAAAUUGUAUUGUGAAUUAUGUAUUGGUCUUAUGCUGAUGUUACACAACAUAAGCCUGUUUUAAAAAAUAUGAAAGUU